rnacentral:rRNA from 1 species
GUGAGUAACACGUAGGUAAUCUGCCGUAGAGYGGGGGAUAACCCAUGGAAACAUGGACUAAUACCGCAUAUACUCUUGACACAUAAGUGUAGUAGAGGAAAGGAGUAAUCCGCUUUACGAUGAGCCUGCGGCCUAUUAGCCUGUUGGUGAGAUAAAAGCCCACCAAAGCUACGAUAGGUAGCCGACCUGAGAGGGUGACCGGCCACAUUGGGACUGAGAUACGGCCCAGACUCCUACGGGAGGCAGCAGCUGAGAAUCUUCCACAAUGGACGAAAGUCUGAUGGAGCGACAUCGCGUGAGGGAUGAAGGCCUUCGGGUUGUAAACCUUGGAAAUUAUCGAAGAAUGAGUGACAGUAGAUAAUGUAAGCCUCGGCUAACUACGUGCCAGCAGCCGCGGUAAUACGUAGGAGGCAAACGUUGCUCGGAUUUACUGGGCGUAAAGGGUGAGUAGGCGGAACUAUAAGUCUAAGGUGAAAUAUCGAAGCUCAACUUCGGAGACGCCUCGGAUACUGUGGUU